rnacentral:tRNA from 1 species
AUAUAAGGAGCUCAGUGGUAGAGCAUAUGCCUUGCAUACACAAGAUCCUGGGUUCAAUUCCCAGCAUCUAAA